rnacentral:rRNA from 1 species
UACGUAGGGAGCAAGCGUUGUCCGGAAUCAUUGGGCGUAAAGCGCGCGUAGGUGGCCCUGUAAGUCCGCUGUGAAAGUCAAAGGCUCAACCUUUGAAAGCCGGUGGAUACUGCAGGGCUAGAGUACGGAAGAGGCGAGUGGAAUUCCUGGUGUAGCGGUGGAAUGCGCAGAUAUCAGGAGGAACACCAAUAGCGAAGGCGGCUUACUGGUCCGGUUCUGACGCUGAGGCGCGAAAGCGUGGGGAGCAAACAGG